rnacentral:ribozyme from 12 species
CCAAACAUCCAUACACCAAAUGUAAAAAAGGCAAUAGUAACAAAGGCACCGGUAAAAAUUGAGAUAGGACAGAUGUCAAUAUCAA